GACGAACGCUGGCGGCGUGCUUAACACAUGCAAGUCGAACGGUAAGGCCCCUUCGGGGGUACCCGAGUGGCGAACGGGUGAGUAACACGUGAGCAACCUGCCCUUGACUCUGGAAUAACAGUUGGAAACAGCUGCUAAUACUGGAUAUUCAUCGUCUCCUUCCUGGGGGGUGGUGGAAAGCUCCGGCGGUCAGGGAUGGGCUCGCGGCCUAUCAGCUUGUUGGUGAGGUAAUGGCUCACCAAGGCUUCGACGGGUAGCCGGCCUGAGAGGGCGACCGGCCACACUGGGACUGAGAUACGGCCCAGACUCCUACGGGAGGCAGCAGUGGGGAAUAUUGCACAAUGGGCGCAAGCCUGAUGCAGCAACGCCGCGUGCGGGAUGACGGCCUUCGGGUUGUAAACCGCUUUCAGUAGGGACGAAGGGUGACUGACGGUAUCUACAGAAGAAGGACCGGCUAACUACGUG
rnacentral:rRNA from 1 species